CAUCACUACGCUAGAUGCAUAUCAAUAAGCGGAGGAAAAGAAACUAACUAGGAUUCCCUCAGUAACGGCGAGUGAAGCGGGAAGAGCUCAAAUUUGAAAUCUUCAAGGUUUCUACCUUGACGAAUUGUAGUUUAAAGAAGUGUUUUCUGUUGGAGUUUUGGUAAAAGUUCUUUGGAAUAGGACAUCAUAGAGGGUGAGAAUCCCGUAUUUGACCGAUUCACUUUCCAAGCUGUGUGAUACACUUUCAAAGAGUCGGAUUGUUUGGGAAUGCAGUCCAAAAUGGGUGGUAAAUUUCAUCUAAAGCUAAAUAUUGGCGAGAGACCGAUAGCGAACAAGUACCGUGAGGGAAAGAUGAAAAGAACUUUGAAAAGAGAGUUAAACAGUACGUGAAAUUGUCAAAAGGGAAGCGUUUGACACCAGUGUUGUUUUUCCGAAAAUCAAUUACGAAUGUUUUAGUUUUUGAGAAGUUAUGACUUCAUCGGCUUGCUUCUCUCUUUAUGAAACUUUCUUAAUGCACUCUUCGGUUAACAAGUCAACAUCAAUUUCUUUUGUUGUAAAAGGGUAUGAGGAAGGUGGCUUUCUUUUCGGAGAAAGUGUUUAUAGCCUUGUACCUCUGCAAUCGGAGGGAUUGAGGUCUGCAGCGUAGAUCCUUCGGGGUUAGAUACAUUUGUGCUAAGCUAUAGUUCUUUAUAGACAACUUGUUGACUAUAAUCAAUCCUGUAACUUACUCGCUUAUGCUAUUUUACCUACGCUUAGGAUGUUGACACACGCGCGUGCUCG
rnacentral:rRNA from 1 species